AGAGUUUGAUCAUGGCUCAGGAUAAACGCUGGCGGCGUGCUUCAGGCAUGCAAGUCGAACGGACUACCGGCUUCGGCCGGUCGUUAGUGGCGGACGGGUGAGUAACACGUAAGCAACCUGCCCGGAAGUGGGGAAUAACUGGCCGAAAGGCCGGCUAAUACCGCAUGUGAAGGUCUUCCGCAGGGAGGACUUUGAAAGGCGAAAGCCGCUUCCGGAGGGGCUUGCGGCCGAUUAGCUUGUUGGUGGGGUAACGGCCUACCAAGGCAACGAUCGGUAGCUGGUCUGAGAGGACGGUCAGCCACACGGGGACUGAGAUACGGCCCCGACUCCUACGGGAGGCAGCAGCUAGGAAUCUUGGGAAUGCGCGAAAGCGUGACCCAGCAACGCCGCGUGGGCGAUGAAGGCCUUCGGGUCGUAAAGCCCUUUUGCAGGGGAAGAUUGUGACGGUACCUUGCGAAUAAGCCACGGCUAACUACGUGCCAGCAGCCGCGGUAAUACGUAGGUGGCAAGCGUUGUCCGGAUUUACUGGGCGUAAAGGGCGUGCAGGCGGUCUGUUAAGUUCAGGGUGAAAGCUCCCGGCUCAACUGGGAGAGGUCCUUGGAUACUGGCAGACUUGAGGGAGGUAGAGGAGAGUGGAAUUCCCGGUGUAGUGGUGAUAUGCGUAGAUAUCGGGAGGAACACCAGUGGCGAAGGCGGCUCUCUGGGCCUUUCCUGACGCUGAGACGCGAAAGCGUGGGGAGCGAACCGGAUUAGAUACCCUAGUAGUCC
rnacentral:rRNA from 1 species